AGUUUACAAAUUUUUCCAUUAAGUCGGGCUAGCUUUGCCUGAAAUUUACUAGCCCACAAAAUAAUUCACGAGUCCGAAAUUUGAAUGUAGACACGGGUUUCGUUGUUAAGCUGCUAAUAUGAU